GGCCGGGAACUCAAAGGAGACUGCCAGUGAUAAACUGGAGGAAGGUGGGGAUGACGUCAAGUCAUCAUGGCCCUUACGACCAGGGCUACACACGUGCUACAAUGGCGCAUACAAAGAGAAGCGACCUCGCGAGAGCAAGCGGACCUCAUAAAGUGCGUCGUAGUCCGGAUUGGAGUCUGCAACUCGACUCCAUGAAGUCGGAAUCGCUAGUAAUCGUGGAUCAGAAUGCCACGGUGAAUACGUUCCCGGGCCUUGUACACACCGCCCGUCACACCAUGGGAGUGGGUUGCAAAAGAAGUAGGUAGCUUAACCUUCGGGAGGGCGCUUACCACUUUGUGAUUCAUGACUGGGGUGAAGUCGUAACAAGGUAACCGUAGGGGAACCUGCGGUUGGAUCACCUCCUUACCUUAAAGAAGC
rnacentral:rRNA from 6 species